rnacentral:pre_miRNA from 1 species
UAAUUACUCCCUCCGUUCGGAAUUACUUGUCCCAGAAAUGAAUAUAUCUAGACGUAUUUUAGUUCUAGAUACAUCCAUUUUCGAGACAAAUAAUUCCGAACGGAGGGAGUAGUUA